GAUGAAGAACGUAGUGAAAUGCGAUAAGUAAUGUGAAUUGCAGAAUUCAGUGAAUCAUCGAAUCUUUGAACGCACCUUGCGCCCUUUGGCCAUUCCGAAGGGCAUGCCUGUUUGAGUAUCAUGAACACCUCAACUCUUUAUGGUUUUCCAUGAUGAGCUUGGACUCUGGGGGUUUUGCUGGCUCACAGUCGGCUCCUCUAAAAUGAAUCAGCUUACCAGUGUUUGGUGGGUAUCAUGGGUGUGAUAACUAUCUACGCUUGUGGUUUUUCCACCAGGUAACCUUCAGCAGUGGAGGUUCGCUGGAGCUCAUAGAUGUCUCUCCUCAGUGAGGACAGCCCUUUGAAUGUUUGAUCUCAAAUCAGGUAGGACUACCCGCUGAACUUAAGCAUAUCAUAAGCGGAGGA
rnacentral:misc_RNA from 1 species